AGACUGGGAUUUGGAGGAAACAGUUGCCAACUUGGCGAAGCUUCAAGGACCUCUGCAGCAGGAAAUGGCAGCAAACACCUUAGCAGCCUGUAUACAUAUCAUUGGGUGGCUCCUAUUGACAACACUGUUUUUGAAGAAGUGGUUAUCUGUGAAGAAGUAAUGGUAACACCUUAAAAUUGAGGACUGAAAAUGAAGGGGAAUCUAAUGAAGAUAUACUGCUUUGUAAUGUACUUCAGUCCUGUCGAUUCUUUAGCUCAACUGCUAAAGUCUUGUUGGUUUUUUAUGAGACCCAGCUGUUUCCAAUUAUACAGUUCAGUCCAACUAACAUGAGUUUUUCACUUCUGAGUUCGAAAGUUAAUAUCGUUGUAGAGCAUCCCCAGUUCAAUCCCUUUCAAUUCCAGACCAAAGAAAUGAAAAAGUAAAAGUUCCACUUUUUCAAGAACAAGCGAAGGGAAUUUAAUUCCACAGAGUAUACUAUAGCAAAAUCAUUAAACUCUUUCAAAUUUGCUCUUUCUUCUCACAAAACAGGAAUUCCUUUCGCAGAUUUAGUUUUCGUUCUUCAGCUAUAUCCCAUUACUUCCCCUUGUACAUAAGCAUUGUCAAAGUCAACAAGAAGUUCUCACCCUAAGCAGAUUUCCUCGCAAUUCCUCCGAGACUGUAGGGAAAGAUACUUAUUUUCUAGCCACCAACAAUGGGUCCUUGUAAUAAAAGUCCCGACGUGAAUGUUUCCAAAGUUCCUAAUAUUUAGGCUUCAAACCUCUGGCAUCCCCAGGCAUCUGCCAGGCAGCUCUUACUCAGUGAAAAACAAGCUUUUUUGUCUCUAGGUUAUCUUUUCCCGUUUUUUACUUGUAUAUGAUGUCACUCAGACGCCUCUCCCCGCACAAAGAGACUGUCAAAUCUUUCCUCCGUCUUUCAAGUCGUUAAGUUUGCCGCGUUAGCUGGUACCUUGCGGAAACAACAACAAUUUUGUAUUUUGGAUGUCUAGAUAAGCAGGGAUACUC